CGUGCAGGAAGACGGCCCUACGGGUUGUAAACUGCUUUUAUGCGGGGAUAAAGUGCAAUACGUGUAUUGCUUUGCAGGUACCGCAUGAAUAAGGACCGGCUAAUUCCGUGCC
rnacentral:rRNA from 1 species